UCGUAGAUUGUAGCGCCAUGCAGUGGAGAACCAUGAUACUUAAUCGCUCAGGAUAUCAUGCGGUAUGAUGCCGGCAUGAUACUCUAUUACCCUGUUUCUAAGCAGUUUUGAUUCGCCGAGUAUUCGGUAAAAAACUUGAUUAGAAAUUCAAUCUGUACAUAAGUAAUUCUCAACGAAUUGAAAUAAACACUUUUUAGCGUGAGCGAGGACCACCUCGUUUGUUAACGAGCAACCGAAUAAGAUUCGCCGGUAAUGGAUCCGGAAUUCUACAAGAAAAGAAGGAAGGAGAGGUUAUUCGAUAGGAUACAUAAAAGUGCUGUGAGUGUCUGUAUGGGUGUCACAGCGAUUGGCACCCUCUUUAUCUGUUAUAAGGUGUACGAAUUCUUUCGAUACGUUCGACCCUUGCAACAAGUACAAAGUAAACUGGUUGAGGAUGAGCUCCUAUUCGAGGGCAAGAACAUAGAAGAUACAUCGGAAAAUUUGUCAUAGGACAGCACAUGCUGUCACACAGUCGAGAUGUAAUGUAAACAAUUCUUUUUACAUAUAGAAGAAAGAAAUAAAUACAGUGAAUGAUACAAUGCCGAGCAAUGUAUUUUCAAGAAUGAAUAUAUAGUCUGUACAUUUAAGAAACUGUAAAUAAACUUAUGUACAUAA